AAGAUUAGCUCAGCGGCAGAGCGUUCGGCUGUUAACCGAAUGGUCAUGGGUUCAAAUCCCAUAUCUUC
rnacentral:tRNA from 1 species